AGAGUUUGAUCAUGGCUCAGAGCGAACGCUGGCGGCAGGCUUAACACAUGCAAGUCGAGCGGGCGUAGCAAUACGUCAGCGGCAGACGGGUGAGUAACGCGUGGGAACGUACCUUUUGGUUCGGAACAACACAGGGAAACUUGUGCUAAUACCGGAUAAGCCCUUACGGGGAAAGAUUUAUCGCCGAAAGAUCGGCCCGCGUCUGAUUAGCUAGUUGGUAGGGUAAUGGCCUACCAAGGCGACGAUCAGUAGCUGGUCUGAGAGGAUGAUCAGCCACAUUGGGACUGAGACACGGCCCAAACUCCUACGGGAGGCAGCAGUGGGGAAUAUUGGACAAUGGGGGCAACCCUGAUCCAGCCAUGCCGCGUGAGUGAUGAAGGCCCUAGGGUUGUAAAGCUCUUUUGUGCGGGAAGAUAAUGACGGUACCGCAAGAAUAAGCCCCGGCUAACUUCGUGCCAGCCGCCGCGGUAAUUC
rnacentral:rRNA from 1 species